rnacentral:rRNA from 1 species
UACAGAGGUCUCAAGCGUUGUUCGGAUUCAUUGGGCGUAAAGGGUGCGUAGGUGGCGCCGUAAGUCAGGUGUGAAAUCUCGGGGCUCAACCCCGAAACUGCACUUGAUACUGCGGUGCUCGAGUACUGGAGAGGAGGUUGGAAUUUACGGUGUAGCAGUGAAAUGCGUAGAUAUCGUAAGGAAGACCAGUGGCGAAGGCGAAUCUCUGGACAGUUACUGACACUGAGGCACGAAGGCCAGGGGGAGCAAAACGGGG